rnacentral:sRNA from 1 species
AAUAUUAAUUUAGAAUAACAUGUGGCACUCACUGGUAUGAUGAUGUGUCACUCAUAUGGAGAGAGUUGGCCAACUUUCAUAUAUAUGAUUCCAAGAUUGAAGCUCUUAUACUCUAAUCCUUAAUAGUU